rnacentral:misc_RNA from 1 species
CUAUCAGGCUGCUCUGCACUGCAAGAUGGCAUUCCAGUUUCCACGCGGUGCUGAGUUUCUCUUUGUCACUCAGUAUCUCCUGCAGUUCGAUGACACGGUAAAGUUCAAGCUGAGGCGUGAAGGCCGACGCACCGUGCUGCAGGUUUCCACCGUCAACAUCCCUCCAUUCAGCUACACCACGGUAGACUUUGCCGAUGAGUCUGAGAGGCCGCAAAAGAUUGCUGCAGUGGAACCGCACGCAACUUCGUGGGCUGUGAACGCUGCUUUUUUCACUAGUGUUCUCAGCUGCUUCAGCGGCCUUUUUCCCAUCACUCUCGAGGUUGCUGACGAUCUCUCAUGUGUCCUUCUCUAUCAAAAAAAGGAAGACGACACCGGCGUGCAAGUAGCACAGGUUGGUGCGCUCCACGACCUCGGACCGAAGCUUCUGGUUGAUCACGACGUGGGGGUUCUGUACACCAUUGCCGACGUUCGAAACUUUGGCGACAUUGUCCGUUCAGUCUGUGCUGGGGACGACGAGCGAUGUGACGUGUUUCUUCGACGCGUUUCGUCGACGGAGUGCGAGCUGGGCAUGCAAACGAGCACCGUCACCUCAUCGCUGCAGCUCUUGUUGGAUGAGUGCAAUGGCGUAUCCAAGCGCCUGGAAGGGUCGGCGCGCUGCACUGAUUUGCAAGAGUACGCACGCCUCUGCACACGAAUGACGAAGCUAGCCGACAAGACUUCUCUUAUGGUGGGGUUUGGGUCUGACGGUAUUGCCCUUUUCAGAUUUGAGUGGGUUACAGAGCGAGGCAGCCGCACGGCUGACUUGUUCUUUUGCACCUCCUAGUCCGGCUUCGCCCCGGCACUGGAUUCCUUCUCCCUCCUCGCUCUGUGUCCUAUCGCUUUUCCUAGAGUCUUGUACUACUCUUGAAGGUAAGAAGUCUAUUCUUGAC